CGCUUCUUGGCCAUCAGGUUGGCCGCGGGGCUGCUGCUCCUGAUGCGGCUGGGCCUACCGCCGCCGCUGCUGGACAGCUGCUGCAGCUCCAGCUUCCCUGGGUGCUUGGACCUCUGCAGCUCCUCAGGGGGAAAUUUCCUGCUUGCUUGGGAAAGCUCCAGACUGCUUUUACUGUGAGGACUCUGCAUAACGAGCAAAAACCAAAGAAGACCUUGAAGUUGUAUAAGUGGUAAAGAGCUGAGUAAAGGGGUGGAGUGAGAACGGUGUGUGUGUGUGGGGGGGGGCGGCGAGUGAUACCAACAAAGGUGUCGGUACAGUGUCCCGUGCAAAUACCACAGCUGCAGCUCUAAGAAAAACCACGUGGGAUUUGGAACUCAUCCUCGGCUCUACCUCCAGUUCUUGGAAAAUCAGAGCUCUUCCAGAAGCACACUGCAUAGUGGUUAAGACCAGAUGCUCUCUUAUCUCUUCUAGGUUUGGGAACUUGAGUGACUUGCUUAACCUCUCCAUGUCUCAGU